rnacentral:rRNA from 1 species
AUACGUAGGUGGCAAGCGUUGUCCGGAUUUACUGGGUGUAAAGGGACGUGUAGCCGGGAAGGCAAGUCAGAUGUGAAAUCUGGAGGCUCAACCUCCAAACUGCAUUUGAAACUGCUUUUCUUGAGUGUCGGAGAGGUAAUCGGAAUUCCUUGUGUAGCGGUGAAAUGCGUAGAUAUAAGGAAGAACACCAGUGGCGAAGGCGGAUUACUGGACGAUAACUGACGGUGAGGCGCGAAAGCGUGGGGAGC